GGUAUGAAAGCAGUGCUACAGUAAUUUCAGCUGAGUCCUGGGAGUAAAGGCAUCUUAUGUGCUCCACAUUACUGUAACUGUUUCUUCAGGUGAAGAAAGGGUUCAAUGAGGGCUGCCCAGGAACCCCCAGAGCAGAGAGCAGUGCAGAUGUGCUGCCACUGUAUGGCCAGGCCUCCUGCCCUGGAAACUCUUUAACUGCAGUUUUGUUCCUGUAACAGCCCUGAGGAGCAGCCACACAUGCAUUAAAGCUGAAAUUAUCUCAGGUAGCAGCAGAGUGGAAUAGGAUCUCCGUAUAUUGCUCAGUGAAAAGCCAGCUCUUUGCUCUGGGAGCUCUGUGGAGGAUUAUGUGUGAAACUGUGCUGUUUACCCCAAAUACUUCUGAGAACAGUGCUGUCAGACAGGUUACCUGUACCUGCCUGAACCUGUGGAAGCAAGGAAGGUAUUGGAAAAGCU
rnacentral:lncRNA from 1 species